rnacentral:rRNA from 1 species
AUUGAACGCUGGCGGCAUGCCUUACACAUGCAAGUCGAACGGUAACAGGUCUUCGGUUGCUGACGAGUGGCGAACGGGUGAGUAAUACAUCGGAACGUGCCCAGACGUGGGGGAUAACGAGGCGAAAGCUUUGCUAAUACCGCAUACGAUCUAAGGAUGAAAGCAGGGGACCGCAAGGCCUUGCGCGUUUGGAGCGGCCGAUGGCAGAUUAGGUAGUUGGUGGGAUAAAAGCUUACCAAGCCGACGAUCUGUAGCUGGUCUGAGAGGACGACCAGCCACACUGGGACUGAGACACGGCCCAGACUCCUACGGGAGGCAGCAGUGGGGAAUUUUGGACAAUGGGCGAAAGCCUGAUCCAGCAAUGCCGCGUGUAGGAUGAAGGCCUUCGGGUUGUAAACUGCUUUUGUACGGAACGAAAAGGCUCUGGCUAAUACCUGGGGCACAUGACGGUACCGUAAGAAUAAGCACCGGCUAACUACGUG